UACGGAGGAUCCGAGUGUUAUCCGGAUUUAUUGGGUUUAAAGGGAGCGUAGGCGGAGGAUCAAGUCAGCUGUGAAAUGUAGAAGCUCAACGUCUGCACUGCAGUUGAAGCUGGUCCCCUUGAGUGCGUAAGGGGCAGGCGGAAUUCGUCGUGUAGCGGUGAAAUGCUUAGAUAUGACGAAGAACUCCGAUCGCGAAGGCAGCUCGCCGGGCCGCAACUGACGCUGAGGCUCGAAGGUGCGGGUAUCGAAC
rnacentral:rRNA from 1 species